CCUACGGGUGGCAGCAGUGAGGAAUAUUGGUCAAUGGUCGGGAGACUGAACCAGCCAAGCCGCGUGAGGGAUGAAGGUACAGAGUAUCGUAAACCUCUUUUGUCAGGGAACAAAGGCGGGGACGCGUCCCCGGAUGAGUGUACCUGAAGCAAAAGCAUCGGCUAACUCCGUGCCAGCAGACGCGGUAAUACGGAGGAUGCGAGCGUUAUCCGGAUUUGUUGGGUUUAAGGGGUGCGGAGGCGGUCUGUUAAGUCAGCGGUAAAAGCACGGGGCUCAACCCCGGCCCGCCGUUGAAACUGGCAGUCUCGAGUUGGAGAGAAGUAUGCGGAAUGCGCGGUGUAGCGGUGAAAUGCAUAGAUAUCGCGCAGAACUCCGAUUGCGAAGGCAGCAUGCCGGCUCCACACUGACGCUGAGGCACGAAAGCGUGGGUAUCGAACAGGAUUAGAUACCCGUGUAGUC
rnacentral:rRNA from 1 species